rnacentral:rRNA from 1 species
UCGAGAGGCUUUGGCAAUGGGGGAAACCCUGACCAAGCGACGCCGCGUGGAGGAUGAAGGCCCUUGGGUUGUAAACUCCUUUUGCAGGGGAAGAAAUGCGAUCAGGUGAAUAAUCUGGUCGUUUGACGGUACCCUGCGAAUAAGCUCCGGCUAACUCCGUGCCAGCAGCCGCGGUAAUACGGGGGGAGCAAGCGUUGUUCGGAUUUACUGGGCGUAAAGGGCGCGUAGGCGGCCACCGCAAGUCAAUUGUGAAAUCUCCGGGCUUAACUCGGAAAGGUCAACUGAUACUGCGGGGCUAGAGUGCAGAAGGGGCAACUGGAAUUCUCGGUGUAGCGGUGAAAUGCGUAGAUAUCGAGAGGAACACCUGCGGCGAAGGCGGGUUGCUGGGCUGACACUGACGCUGAGGCGCGAAAGCUAGGGGAGCGAG